GGGGAUUUAGCUCAGCGGCAUAAGCGCCUGCCUUCCAAGCAGGCGGUCGUGAGUUCGAUCCCCG
rfam:Cavia porcellus supercont2_4 genomic scaffold, whole genome shotgun sequence.